UUGAAGAAAUCGGGCUCCGCCAUCUUCCGGCUCCUCGUGCGCUACAAGCCGGGGGUCCGACCACCACAGCCGCCGCUGCGCACGGCCACUAGGUCCUACCGCGCCUACCGGCGGCGCUUGCCAGCGGUCUCGCGCUCGGCCACUACCCCAAGCCAUGGACUCUUAAGCGAAGGGCCGCGGCGCCCGGAGCUCAUCCACUUCACCCGAGGCCGCGGCGGGGAGCCGUGGUACCUCGACUGGCGGAAGUUGGCCGCGCGGGUUCUCGCCCCUGGCGCCGCGGCGAUCGCCGCGUACUACCACAACCUCGAGACCGUGCCGUACACCAACCGCACCCACCUUGUGUUCCUCUCUCCCCGGAUCGAGCGGUGGCUCGGCGGGCGCGCGUUCGACGAUCUCAAGAAGGAGAAAGCCGGCAUGAUCCUACCCGCGGAACACUACGAGAGCGUGCGCGUCAGGCGCAUCACCUCGGAGAUCGUCCGCGCCGCCCGACGCACCCUUGGAGUUGCGCCCGUCGAUCCAGCCGGGGAGCUGCUGAAUGACAGGUUCAUGGCCAGGAACUACGGGAAGCAGGCGAUGACGAGGCAUCUCGACGGGCUCGAUUGGGAGGUGAUCGUCGUGGAAGACAGGAAAGUCAACGCGAUGUGCGUUCCAGGCAAGAUCUUGGUCUACACUGGAUUGCUCGACUACUUCAGAACUGACGCCGAGAUCGCCGCUGUGCUAGGGCAUGAGGUUGGACACAUUAUUGCGAGGCACUCGGCCGAGGCGAUCACCAAGAGCUUGUGUUCUUAUGCUGUGCAACGACUUGUCAUGGGGCGGGACAGUCCAGACUUCAUGAGGGGUGUAUCGAAAUUACUAUUCACGCUGCCCUUCUCACGAAAGAUGGAGAUAGAGGCAGAUCACAUUGGAAUGCUGCUACUUGCUGCAGCUGGUUUCGAUCCACACAUAGCCAUUGCAGUCGAAGAGAAGCUAGGAAAGAUGUCAAGAAAAUCAGAAUUGGAAAACUACCUCUCCACUCACCCUUCAGGUAAGAAAAGAGUGCAGUCCUUGUCGCAGGACAAAGUCUUGAAGGAAGCGAUGGAAUUAUACAGGGAAGCUAGUCCCGUCAAAGAAGCUGAACGUUUC
rnacentral:rRNA from 1 species